AACAGAAAGCUGAGAAUUUGCAAGAAUUAUAGAUAGGAUGGCUAAAAAAGUAAACUAUUACACGAUUACACACAAUGGCAUUUCCUUAUCAACCACAUACUGACACUUCCCAUCGCGUGAACCCUUACCAGACUACACUUGUUUAAAGGAAGAAAUGAGCAAAGGAUCCACCAUGGAUCGGCAUGAAUGGAUGUUCCCUUUCUCAGUGGUCUAAGGAAAAAUGACUGAAUGCAGGUUUGCAGAAAUAACAGCAGAUCAAAAUCUGGUGUGGCACGAUGACAAGUAAAGGUAAAAGCAAAGAAGUCAAGCACCGUCAUAAUCCGUCAAGUGCAACACAACAAUGAAAAAUGCAGACUGUGUUCUUUAAAGCAAAAACACUGAUUUAUUUCUCGUCCAAUCUUCAGCGAAUUUGGUAUAGAUAUGUGUUCAACAAACCCUGUUGGCUUAAUAAGUGAAGAAGUUAUGUAUUUUAUGACAAUAAUAGUUUAGUCAAUAAGCGAAGCGAACAUUUGCAGCGCUGUUCUACAACAGUACAAAAAGACCAUGCCAGGACGUGUUACUGGCUGUAUCAGCACAAGAAGUGGCAUAAACAUUAUUGCU